rnacentral:lncRNA from 1 species
UCGAUCGUAUGCAUGUCGAGUAAUGCUUGUUCCUCUGCUUCGCUCUGCAUGUCUCCUAAGUACCUGAAACACUCCAAAUAUGCACAAUUUAUGCAAGACAUGCAUGAUAUGCAUAAAACCUACCUAAGUAUGUAAAACAUGCAGAAAGUGACCAAUAUGAUGCGAAUCAACAAAUGAAUGAUGCUGAAAAGAUGAUGAAUACAUGCUCAAAAAGUGAUGAAAUACAGACUUGUGUUCAUAUGAUUGUGAAGCUCAGCUAACUGCUUUGCUUGUUCAAGGCGGCUGUUGGAUUGUGCUUGGAGAAGUUGAUUAAUUAUUGUUUGGACAUCUUGUUCUGGGGGUGCAUGAGUAGGGUGAUGUUGGAACCCUGGAGGAUGUGCCAUAGGUUGUUGAUAAGAACCUUGGGACUGCUGUUGAGGUUGAAAAGCUUGUUUUUGAUUAAAGCCAACUAACGGCUUGUUCUGGAAUUGUUGUUGUUGAGGUGGAUAGACUUGAUCUUGAAGGUUUGCAACGUUGGUGCUUAUAUAAGAAAGGUUCGGGUUGGGUUUAUAG